UGAUGCUUAUAAAGAAAAAUUAUGUUUUCUUCUUUUUGUGUUAUAGGUCUUUUCUUGAUUAAAAUAGCAGCAUUUUUAAUUAUUCAUAACUUGAAGAGAUUUUUUUAUCUUACUAUUUCAAGUUAAUGAAGGGUUCAUCGGAGUAUCUGUGCAAAAUUAUUUUGGGUUUUAAACAAUCUCGUCUUAGAAAAAUUUUUGCUCAAUGUUGUUCCAUAAUAAUGUUACUUAUGAGGGGAGUAAUUGGUAAUGCUUAGCUUUUUACAAACAGUAGCCAUUUGUAUGUACAGAUUGUACGUAUUUACGGUGGUAGUUUUCUUGAAGAGAGAAGAGAAGACAGAGAGGGAAAUAAAAUAUAUAUUUUUUUAGAAAAAAAGUGUAGUCACCAUUAAGCAAUGAAUGGUGUAUAGAAAAAACUGCAAUAAACCUUGCUUUUACUCUCUCUCUCUCUCUGUAUAUAUAUUUUUAAGGCAUCUGACAUUUUCUUAUGCACUAGGAAAAACUGACAGAAAAAGAAAAAAGGAUGAAAAGACUCACUUCUCUUAUCCGUUGCCCUUCAAAAUUGAAAUAUGAUGAUUCGAAAUAUGUAUGGCUGAAAUCAUUGACAAAUUCGAACACGCCAUCUUCUUUUCUUCACGGUGCUCUUCAUCUCGAACGCGCCAUCUUUCUGCCUCCCGCCUCACCUUAUAAAGAUGAAGAAAAUCUAUCUCCUCCAUCAUUCACUUUCUCCUCUUGUCCGUUUCCCUCCAAGCCCCAACGUGAAAUCUGAUAAUUUGAAACACCAAAAACAAUAACCCCACCGCCCCCUGGCCACUUUUCUUCAAUGAUCUUGACACUCUAAACUUCCACCAUUAAGACCUUCAUUUUCUACACCCGAUGAUGCCAAUCACUUUUUUCAACAUCCUUCGUUCUUCUCCUCUUGGUUCCCCUCAAAACUUCAAUUCAAAGAGAUUAGAUUUGAUGGGUCAAUUUGAACUGGAGAAGAUGGGGAACGGUGAUGUGGUUAUGGAGACAAGGUUACGCAUACCUUGCCUGCGACAUUUACGCUCGAUAGCGGGCCUGAUAACAUCAAGGAAGCUUGGGGGAGUUGAAGCUCAAUCCUCCAUUUUCUCAUGAGAUUUCAGAGGAAGAGCUGACACAUAAAAGAAACAGAAAAAAAAAAUGAAAAGACUCUCUUCUCAUAUCCGUUGCCCUCCAAAAUUGAAAUCUGAAAACUUAAGACGCCAUCUUUUCUUUAUUUUUUCUCAAAAAUCUUGCCACUUUCCACUCUCCACUUGACUUGGGCUACGUUUUUUCUUCAAGCAGCUCUUCAUCUUGAACACACCAUCUCCUGCUUCCCGCCUCAUAUGCUCAUUGCUACGUUUUAAAGAUGAAGAAAAUCUAACCCCCUUCCGUCAUUCACUUUCUCUUCUCUUAUCCAUUCCCCUCCAAGCCCCAACAUGAAAUCUGAUAAUUUGAAACACCAAAAAGAACACCCCCGCAGGCCCAUGGAUCAUUACAAUCUUCAAUUUCUACACUCCACGAUGGCAAUCACAUUUCUCAACAACCUUCGCUUUUCUCCUUGGUUCCCCUCAAAACCUCAAUCCAAAGGGAUUAGAUUUGAUGGGUCAAUAGUGGAUAUGUUUCAACUGGGAAAGAUGGAGAACGGUGAUGUGGUUGUGGAGACAAGCAUUACGCGUACUUUGCCUGCAGCAUUGACGUUUUGGUGCGGGCUUGAGAGCAUCAAGGAAGCUUUGGAGGAGUUGAAGCUCAAUCCUCCAUCUUCUUCUCAUGGGAUCAUAAGAUUUCAGGUGUUUAAAAGGGGAUUAGAUUUGAUGGGACAAUGGUGGAUAUGGGGGUGAAGUGGGCAAGAUGGAGAAUGGUGAGAUGGUUGUGGAGACAAGCAUUACGCGUACCUUGCCUGCAGCAUUGACGUUUUGGUGCGGGCUUGAGAGCAUCAAGGAAGCUUUGGAGGAGUUGAAGCUCAAUCCUCCAUCUUCUUCUCAUUGAAUUAUAAGAUUUCAGGUUUUGGAAGACAUGCGAGGUUUAUUGCAAGCAGCACACGAAAGAAAGCAAGCUGCAGUUGCUGAGCUAUCUGCUAAACAUCGAAAGGAUAAGGGUCAACUCCCCUCGCAAUUGCUGUUUGUAAAGAGGAUCACUGGGCACAUCAGUUUCAAAUCUCUGACCAAGGUGAGUUUUUGAAUUUUUUGUUUUAUCAUUUUUCAUCAAUAUAAUUAUAUUGUACAUGCUUAAAUUCUCCUAGAGAUCUUGCAAAUUCGAAAAUAUGGAGGUAGUAUGUUUCUUUAGAGUUAACAGAAAGAACUGAAAA